CCUACGGGUGGGCAGCAGUGGGGAAUAUUGGACAAUGGGGGGAACCCUGAUCCAGCCAUGCCGCGUGUGUGAAGAAGGCCCUCGGGUUGUAAAGCACUUUCAGUGAGGAAGAACGCCUGGUGGUUAAUACCCAUCAGGAAAGACAUCACUCACAGAAGAAGCACCGGCUAACUCCGUGCCAGCAGCCGCGGUAAUACGGAGGGUGCGAGCGUUAAUCGGAAUUACUGGGCGUAAAGCGCGCGUAGGUGGCUUGAUAAGCCGGUUGUGAAAGCCCCUGGCUCAACCUGGGAACGGCAUCCGGAACUGUCAAGCUAGAGUGCAGGAGAGGAAGGUAGAAUUCCCGGUGUAGCGGUGAAAUGCGUAGAGAUCGGGAGGAAUACCAGUGGCGAAGGCGGCCUUCUGGACUGACACUGACACUGAGGUGCGAAAGCGUGGGUAGCAAACAGGAUUAGAUACCCUGGUAGUC
rnacentral:rRNA from 1 species